rnacentral:lncRNA from 1 species
CGAGCAAAGAAAGUUAAUGUCUCCGGUCGUAAGUUUGAUCCACGCGCCGACACGCGAUCUGUGAGAUUCGCGAAUUUCCGUUUUCCUGUCCGUGAACCCGUCGGAAAAGUGUGACAGGGUGGUUUUUGGAGUGCGCAGAUUUUUGCGGACAACGUUUGGUGUUUGUGACUAAGUUUUGGGAUGUUAUCGUCGCCGAGGAGUAUUCUGUCGAACACGUGAGGAACCCUUAACAGGGUUGCGCCCGGCAUGGGGCCCUUAUGGGUCGCGGGCCUGGUGAUCGUCUCCGUGUUGAGCGGGCCAUGCCUCUGCGACACGAGCACAACCCGAGCUCGACCAACACUACCACCGCCGGAACCGGCUCCAAGUCCAAACCCAACGAUACUGCCAUCGAGACAUCCACCGAUAUCGACGAGUACGAACUACUUCCAGAGGCGGCAUCUCUCACCGGUGAUCAGGAAUGGAUCGACGGUCCUGAUGAUGGUUCGGAGGAUGAGAUCAUAGAAGAAGACGCUGAUGACAUCGAGACAGCAGGUUCCGAAGUUGUCUCUACAGUCGUGAAACAAGACGAAACAGGGAACGGAGAGGAGGAGCCUGGUAUGAGACGGCGCCGGAAAAAGGGUCGGAAGAGGCGGCGCCGAAUGCGGAAACGCCCCAGGACAACAACACCAAACUCCGCGGAGGCAGACGUUUAUCCAACACCCCCUCCGAACGCAAGCGAGGAACCAGAAAAAGUUCCUGUUGCAGCACAAGAAGAACAGAGUGAGACUUACCCUCGUCGGCGUCCAGGCAAGAGGCGUCGACGGCCAUGGGCCCGCCCCAGCACUGAAGCACCGUUAGACACCCCUGAAGUUCAGGACCCUCAGGUUCCUCAAGAGCAACAGCCUCCUGUUCCAGAGGAAGCAUCUGAGGAGCCACAAACACCAGCACCUAGACCUCGACGAAGAAAGCGACCAAAGAACCGCACCAAGAUUCCAAUAGAGAACAUCAACUCUCAAGAGACAACUGAGACAACAAAGAACGAGGAUGCAGGUGGGUUGCCGGAGAAUCAUAAACAGUAUGCUGGUGAGCAAGCUCCGGAGCGUUAUGCCUCAGAGCAGCCGAAAGGUUCGGGAGGUGAGGUAAUUAGUUUAAUUUCAAGAGAGGAGCUGGAGAGGGAUCGAAAACAAUUCGCUGAGCAGAGUAAUCGUGAAAAAUCUCCCUAUAAUGCAGGAGAUGAUUUGAAACCUGGGAAGCAGGCUGUUCAAAAGAUAGCGCCAACUAAAGCGACGGCUCAAUAUCCAUUAGAGCAGAGACCAAUCAACGUAGAGCAAAGGCCGAAAGAAAACACGUUGGAGCCGAAACCUAAAGAACAUCAUGAGCAACGGAUAAAAGUCUAUCCUGUGGAGCAGAAGCCAAAGGAUUAUCUCUCUGGAGAGCAGCAACAUAGAGAUUACAUUAGUGGUGGACAGAAGCAGAAAGAAUACGCGACUGAGCAGAAACCUAGAGAUUUCCCACCUUCUGAGCAGAAACCUAAAGAAAAUACAAAUGUUGAGCAAAAGUUCAAAGAUUAUCAAAAUUUUGGUCCACAAACCGACCAAUAUCUGGUAAGCAGCAACCCCAGCAACAGACUACAAAACAUCCAGAAGUAG